rnacentral:lncRNA from 1 species
CUCACCCACUAGUGUAGUGAGAAGGAUGAAGGAAUAACCAAAAGGGUGAAAGAUUGUUAGCUAAAACACCUCAAUGGUGGCCGGCCCUUUGAUGUGUUAGAGAGCUUUUUUUCUUUUGCCUCUUUGUUGUUUAAACACUUCAAAAACCCUUAUGAACUUUAUCACUAUAAAGUUCCUUAUAUAGACAAAAGAAAACCUAGUCAACACUUGACUAAAUAUCUCUCC